rnacentral:pre_miRNA from 14 species
UUAAUGAAGUUUUAGCUGUGUGCGAUGGGUUGGCAGUGUAUUGUUAGCUGGUUGAGUAUGUAAAAGGCACCAGCUAACAUGCAACUGCUCUCCUAUUGCACAUACAAUCAACAGCAGGAUGC